rnacentral:rRNA from 1 species
CCUGANNUGCUAUNGGGAUUGAUANUAAGCCAUGCGAGUUCAUUGUAGCAAUACAAGGCAGACGGCUCAGUAACGNGUAGUCAAUCUACCCUAUGGACGGGAAUAACCUCGGGAAACUGAGAAUAAUGCCCCGAUAGAACAUUAUGCCUGGAAUGGUUUAUGUUUCAAAUGAUUUAUCGCCAUAGGAUGGGACUGCGGCCUAUCAGUUUGUUGGUGAGGUAAUGGCCCACCAAGACUAUUACAGGUACGGGCUCUGAGAGGAGUAGCCCGGAGAUGGGUACUGAGACACGGACCCAGGCCCUAUGGGGCGCAGCAGGCGAGAAAACUUUGCAAUGUGCGAAAGCACGACAAGGUUAAUCCGAGUGGUUUCUGCUAAGGAAACCUUUUGUCAGUCCUAGAAACACUAACGAAUAAGGGGUGGGCAAGUUNUGGUGUCAGCCGCCACGGUAAAACCAGCACCUCAAGUGGUCAGGAUGAUUAUUGGGCCUAAAGCAUUCGUAGCUCGUUUUGUAAGUUUUCGGUUAAAUCCAUGCGCUUAACGUAUGGGCUGCCGGGAAUACUGCAUAACUAGGAAGUGGGAGAGGUAGACGGUACUCGGGAGGAAGGGGUAAAAUCCUUUGAUCUCUUGAUGACCACCUGUGGCGAAGGCGGUCUACCAGAACACGUUCGACGGUGAGGGAUGAAAGCUGGGGGAGCAAACCGGAUUAGAUACCCGGGUAGUCCCAGCUGUAAACUAUGCAAACUCAGUGAUGCAUUGGCUUAUGGCCAAUGCAGUGCUGCAGGGAAGCCGUUAAGUUUGCCGCCUGGGAAGUACGUACGCAAGUAUGAAACUUAAAGGAAUUGGCGGGGGAGCACCACAAGGGGUGAAGCCCUGCGGUUCAAUUGGAGUCAACGCCGAAA